CGCGCAUCACCCCGAAGGAAGUUCCGUCACUCCACCCGGACCACCCGGACCACCCGCCCGCCGCCAGGGCAAACACGGUCCGACACCACCCGGACCACCCCCAGACCAACACCCGGA
rnacentral:rRNA from 1 species